rnacentral:siRNA from 1 species
UACUUUGUUGGUUAAUCUUCUUC